rnacentral:rRNA from 1 species
AUUGAACGCUAGCGGGAUGCUUUACACAUGCAAGUCGAACGAGUGGCGGACGGGUGAGUAAUAUAUCGGAACGUGCCCAGUAGCGGGGGAUAACUACGCGAAAGAGUGGCUAAUACCGCAUACUAUUGUAGCGGCCGAUAUCGGAUUAGCUAGUUGGUGGGGUAAAGGCUCACCAAGGCAACGAUCCGUAGCGGGUUUGAAAGGCCGAGCAGCCACACUGGGAAUGGAACACGGCCCAGACUCCUAGGGGAGGCAGCAGUGGGGAAGUUUGGACAAUGGGGGAAACCCUGAUCCAGCCAUCCCGCGUGUAUGAGAAGGCCUUCGGGUUGUAAAGUACUGUUGGCAGAGAAGCGGUAUCUGCAGAAUAAGCACCGGCUAACAACGUGCCAGCAGCCGCGGUAAUAC